UGACCUGGUUCAAGUAAUCCAGGAUAGGCUGGACCCAUUCUCAUCGGCCUAUUCUCGACUACUUGCACUCGGGC
rnacentral:pre_miRNA from 15 species